AUUGAACGCUGGCGGCAUGCCUUACACAUGCAAGUCGAACGGCAGCGGACCUUCGGGUGCCGGCGAGUGGCGAACGGGUGAGUAAAGUAUCGGAACGUACCUUUCAGUGGGGGAUAACGUAGCGAAAGUUACGCUAAUACCGCAUAUUCUGUGAGCAGGAAAGCAGGGGAUCGCAAGACCUUGCGCUGAUUGAGCGGCCGAUAUCAGAUUAGCUAGUUGGUGAGGUAAAGGCUCACCAAGGCGACGAUCUGUAGCGGGUCUGAGAGGAUGAUCCGCCACACUGGAACUGAGACACGGUCCAGACUCCUACGGGAGGCAGCAGUGGGGAAUUUUGGACAAUGGGGGCAACCCUGAUCCAGCCAUGCCGCGUGAGUGAAGAAGGCCUUCGGGUUGUAAAGCUCUUUCGUCCGGGAAGAAAUCGCAUCAGCUAAUACCUGGUGUGGAUGACGGUACCGGAAUAAGAAGCACCGGCUAACUACGUGCCAGCAGCCGCGGUAA
rnacentral:rRNA from 1 species